rnacentral:tRNA from 1 species
AGCUCGGUGGUGCAGUGGAUAGCAUGUGGGGCUCAUAUUGAUAUGCGGCACCCCAAGGUCGACGGAUCGAAACCGUCCUGAGCUA